rnacentral:rRNA from 2 species
GGUUAAGCGACUAAGCGUACACGGUGGAUGCCCUGGCAGUCAGAGGCGAUGAAGGGCGUGCUAAUCUGCGAUAAGCGCCGGUAAGGUGAUAUGAACCGUUAUAACCGGCGAUACCCGAAUGGGGAAACCCAGUGUGAUUCGUCACACUAUCAUUAACUGAAUCCAUAGGUUAAU